rnacentral:rRNA from 1 species
GAUGAACGCUGGCGGCGUGCCUAAUACGUGCAAGUCGAGCGAACAGACGAGGAGCUUGCUCCUCUGACGUUAGCGGCGGACGGGUGAGUAACACGUGGAUAACCUACCUAUAAGACUGGGAUAACUUCGGGAAACCGGAGCUAAUACCGGAUAAUAUAUUGAACCGCAUGGUUCAAUAGUGAAAGACGGUUUUGCUGUCACUUAUAGAUGGAUCCGCGCCGCAUUAGCUAGUUGGUAAGGUAACGGCUUACCAAGGCAACGAUGCGUAGCCGACCUGAGAGGGCGAUCGGCCACACUGGAACUGAGACACGGUCCAGACUCCUACGGGAGGCAGCAGUAGGGAAUCUUCCGCAAUGGGCGAAAGCCUGACGGAGCAACGCCGCGUGAGUGAUGAAGGUCUUCGGAUCGUAAAACUCUGUUAUUAGGGAAGAACAAAUGUGUAAGUAACUAUGCACGUCUUGACGGUACCUAAUCAGAAAGCCACGGCUAACUACGUG